UACUUGCUUUUUCUUUGCAGACUGUCACAAAAUCCGUAAAGUUCUCAUUGUUGGGGAUUCCAUAGUGAAGCAUUUACCACAUAUUGAGGGUGUUUCUAAUUUGUCUUUUAGGGGGGCAACUAUAGGGAUUCUAUGAAGUUGAACAGUUUGUUCAAGAGAAUUUACUGUAUAAGAGUGUCUGAUACAUGUAGUUGCAGUCUGUCUUUGGAAGCUGUUGAAGUAACAAGAAAGAGGCUACAUUGACAUCCUGUUUUGGUAGGGAGAAGUUUGAGUAUGUACAGUUGUUUGGCCUGUCUUACCAUGCGGCAGUCCCAGAAGAUGUUACCAUCAUGAAUAAAUGCAGGGGAACUUGAAGACAAUGGUUAGUGCAGAAGGGACAUAAAAGUAAUGUGAAAGUAACAGAUAUAAAUAAGAAGUGCUAAGUUUGUUGUCAUGUGAAAAGGACUUUACCCCAACUGUGCUGCAUGAUGUAUAUUCAAGAGUGAGACAGCCAUGCACCAUCUGUAAAAUGAGAUGGACCCACACAUGAAAUAUAUUUACUUUUCUAUGUAUUAUCAUCUGUACAGAAUGUGUUUAUGACAAGACUGUAAACAUAUAUUGUUAAAUCAUUUUUUAUUUCCAUUAUGGCAUGCAUGUAAGAAGAAAGCAUUAAUUAAACAGUUGCAUUCAUAGAAAUGUUAAAAUGUGAUCAAUCUAAUUAAAAGAAUAACCUUUAAUUAUUGGACUUUCAAAGUUUCAUAUUAUUUUUGGUGGAGAUUGACCCAGUCAUUCAGCAACUUAUACUGUCUGCGAGUCAUUUCUUGUAUGUUAUAGUUUUCUUAAUAAUGCAUAAAAUAUCAAAAUAAUGGUUAGAUGAACUCCUUCAUCACUUGUACAUUAAUGUUAAAGCAGUUCAACAUUUUACCAUAACUUAAUUAAUAUUCUAUUAACCAGAUUUGUCACAAAUUUUCAUAUAAACAUCUGUAUAAUACAGUCUAAUCUAAUCUAGAAAUGAUAUUCCACAAUUUUUUAGUUAUACUUUAUUUUGUUUUGAUGUCUCAACAUAUAAUUACUAACAUCAACAAAACUUAGAUAUUUUACAAUUUGGUUGGUAUAAAUGGUUGUUUUGUUGAUAUGUUUUAUUUAUUUCCAUCCAGGGGAAUAAAGAAAUAUACAUUUUAAAAUAUCUCAUCAUUCCAGAUAAGUACACUACAUAAUCAAGAUAAAAGAAAUAAGAAAAAUUGUGUUGGUGGAAUUUUAUUUUAAAAAAUUUAUAUACAGUCUUUGUAGUCUUUACUUCUUUAGAUAUGUUGGACUGAAAUGGGAAUAACAACAUACUUUAAAUUUUUGUAGUCAUAAGUUAAUAUGGGAAUUAUUAACUUGAAAUAGAUUUUAUCUCGCUGUUAUGCCAUCUGAGCUUUAAUAUUUUUCAACAUUGUCAUUGGCAACAAGGCUAAACAUUAUUUCUUAUGUAUACCUUGCAUUCAUGUGUGAUAAAUGAUUUUAUGGUAUUCUUUAAUAUGAUAUAUGCUUUUCAUCUUACCAUGGAUUAAAAAAAUAUAUAUUUAUUUGUCUGAAAAUUAAGGUAAAAAUACUGACUGAUUAAAUUGCAAUAUAAGAAAGCUUAUAUGAGAUAAAGGGAAGUAAUUCCAUAAAAAAUAUGUAAAAUGUAGAAUAUAAAUAUAAUGAAGGGAGGUAAUAAAAUAUUGUGAAGU